AACGAACGCUGGCGGCAGGCUUAACACAUGCAAGUCGAACGCCCCGCCAGGGGAGUGGCCGACGGGUGAGUAACGCGUGGGAACAUACCCUUUUCUACGUAAUAGCUCUGUGAAACUGGAAUUAAUACCGUAUACGCCCUACGGGGGCAAGAUUUAUCGGGGAAGGAUUGGCCCGCGUUGGAUUAGCGAGUUGGUGGGGUAAAGGCCUACCAAGGCGACGAUCUAUAGCUGGUCUGAGAGGAUGAUCAGCCACAUUGGGACUGAGACACGGCACAAACUCUUACGGGAGGGAGCAGUGGGGAAUAGUGGAAAAUGGGGGCAAGCAUGAUGCAGCCAUGCCGCGUGAGUGAUGAAGGCCGUAGGGUUGUAAAGCUCUUUCACCGAUGAAGAUAAUGACGGUAGUCGGAGAAGAAGCCACGGCUAACUUCGUG
rnacentral:rRNA from 1 species